rnacentral:rRNA from 1 species
CCUACGGGGGGCAGCAGUGGGGAAUAUUGGACAAUGGGGGGAACCCUGAUCCAGCCAUGCCGCGUGUGUGAAGAAGGCCCUCGGGUUGUAAAGCACUUUCAGUGAGGAAGAACGCCUGGUGGUUAAUACCCAUCAGGAAAGACAUCACUCACAGAAGAAGCACCGGCUAACUCCGUGCCAGCAGCCGCGGUAAUACGGAGGGUGCGAGCGUUAAUCGGAAUUACUGGGCGUAAAGCGCGCGUAGGUGGCUUGAUAAGCCGGUUGUGAAAGCCCUGGGCUCAACCUGGGAACGGCAUCCGGAACUGUCAAGCUAGAGUGCAGGAGAGGAAGGUAGAAUUCCCGGUGUAGCGGUGAAAUGCGUAGAGAUCGGGAGGAAUACCAGUGGCGAAGGCGGCCUUCUGGACUGACACUGACACUGAGGUGCGAAAGCGUGGGUAGCAAACAGGAUUAGAUACCCGUGUAGUC